UCUAUCUGGUUGUGGCAGUGGUCUUAAGAAGCACUAAUCCCAGCUUCCCAUUCAGCUAAUGUUCAAAUGCAAUGUUUUUAACACAUUCGAAUCUCCGGUUUUAUCAUGCUGGCUCUUUGAAUCAUUGAAAUCCUGAAAAAUGUCUUUCGAAUAUUGCAAAAUCCCGAAUAACUUUCACUACGCCAGAAACAACACUUUGGAUGCAUUUGUUAAAAAGUUUUUUUCAUUUAUUCUAAGACGCGAUAUUCACUCAAAACAUAGAACGAAUGCGACCUGGAAUUUACAAUUUAACGGGCUUGGGCUUGCCUUGCUGGGCAGCAAUGCGCUCGUUGUAACGCUUCACUGACUCCUCGCGGGAAAGAUUUCCCUUGCGGGCAUAACGCUGAUUGAUCAGGAACUUGACAUCCAUCUGUGGAAAAUUCACAAUUUUAGAUUGAUUUUGCAAUUAACUAGUUGGUUGGUUGAAUUCUACUUACACCCAGGGUGGACUCGUGGCGCUUACGCAGUGGGCGCUUGAUGCCAUUGCGGUGAGCCUUCUUGUUCUGGUUAUGAUUUGUGUGAUUCUUGGACUUGGCCA